rnacentral:rRNA from 1 species
GACGAACGCUGGCGGCGUGCUUAACACAUGCAAGUCGAACGGAAAGGCCCUGCUUUUGUGGGGUGCUCGAGUGGCGAACGGGUGAGUAACACGUGAGUAACCUGCCCUUGACUUUGGGAUAACUUCAGGAAACUGGGGCUAAUACCGGAUAGGAGCUCCUGCUGCAUGGUGGGGGUUGGAAAGUUUCGGCGGUUGGGGAUGGACUCGCGGCUUCUCAGCUUGUUGGUGGGGUAGUGGCUUACCAAGGCUUUGACGGGUAGCCGGCCUGAGAGGGUGACCGGCCACACUGGAAGUGGGACACGGUCCAGGAUAAUAAGGGAGGCAGCAGUAGGGAAUCGGCCGCAAUGGGCGAGAGCCUGACGGAGCAACGCAGAGUGAGUGAUGAAGGUCUUAGGAUCGUAAAAAUCUGUGAUUAGGGAAGAAAAGAGGUGGAAGUAAAUGUGCACAGCUGGACGGUAAAUAAUCAGAAAGACACGGAUAACUAAGUG